rnacentral:misc_RNA from 1 species
AUUGGCAUUGCUGGGAUUGG